rnacentral:rRNA from 1 species
GAUGAACGCUGGCGGCGUGCCUAAUACAUGCAAGUCGAGCGAACAGACGAGGAGCUUGCUCCUCUGACGUUAGCGGCGGACGGGUGAGUAACACGUGGAUAACCUACCUAUAAGACUGGGAUAACUUCGGGAAACCGGAGCUAAUACCGGAUAAUAUAUUGAACCGCAUGGUUCAAUAGUGAAAGACGGUUUUGCUGUCACUUAUAGAUGGAUCCGCGCCGCAUUAGCUAGUUGGUAAGGUAACGGCUUACCAAGGCAACGAUGCGUAGCCGACCUGAGAGCGUCAUUGGCUACACGGGAACUGAGAAACGGCCCAGACUCCUACGGGAGGCAGCAGUAGGGAAUCUUCCGCGAUGGGCGAAUGCCUGACGGAGCAACGCCGCGUGAGUGAUGAAGGUCUUCGGCUCGUAAAACUCUGUUAUUAGGGAAGAACAAAUGUGUAAGUAACUAUGAACGUCUUGACGGUACCUAAUCAGAAAGCCACGGCUAACUACGUG